GCCAGCAGCUAUAUCACCCUGCAGCUCACAACUGGCAACCCACUGAAGCUCAGCAGGUGUGAGCCUGGUCAGUACCUGGAUGGGAGACCUCCUGGGUAAAACUAAGGUUGCUGCUGGAA
ensembl:rRNA 5S_rRNA 5S ribosomal RNA